GAAUAUUGCGCAAUGGGCGAAAGCCUGACGCAGCGACGCCGCGUGGGUGAUGAAGGCCUUCGGGUCGUAAAGCCCUGUCGGGAGGGAAGAAAUCUCAUCGGCCUAUUAUGCCGAUGACUUUACCGUACCUCUUAAGGAAGCACCGGCUAACUCCGUCCCCGCAGCCGCGGUAAUACGGAGGGUGCAAGCGUUGUUCGGAAUCACUGGGCGUAAAGCGCGUGUAGGCGGCUAUCUAAGUCUGAUGUGAAAGCCCUGGGCUCAACUCAGGAAGUGCAUUGGAUACUGGAUAGCUGGAGUACCGGAGAGGAGGGUGGAAUUCCUGGUGUAGCGGUGAAAUGCGUAGAUAUCAGGAGGAACACCGGUGGCGAAGGCGUCCCUCUGGCCGGAUACUGACGCUGAGACGCGAAAGCGUGGGGAGCAAACAGG
rnacentral:rRNA from 1 species